rnacentral:misc_RNA from 1 species
UGCUUCACCUCCAAGCCUGGCAGAUG